rnacentral:lncRNA from 1 species
AUUAUAGAACAACUUGUCUCUGUUGGCAAAGUGGCUUGUGCAGACUGCAUGGUAGGUGAAGGCUACGUGCUAGGUUGAGUGAUCGCCUGCGUGAUAGAACCAUUCAGAGGUCUUGGGGUGGUGGCUUCAUCUUUGGUUGCAUUGGAAUAACCUGUGUUGUUGACAGUAAAAAAAAAAAUUCAAUACGCAUAAAAUUAGUUUUUAGCACAUUGUACCAAUCAUGCAUUCGUGUCAAACAAAUAAAUUGUUGCUAAAAAUUUUAAUAUUCAACAACUACUUGCCACUACAUUUCUAGGUUCAUUUCUAGAAUGUAAACGGUUGUGUCAAAAUUUGCAACUACAUUUCUGGUCUGUAACAUAUGAUCGUUGUUUUGCUAGUCUAUUUUUAUUCUAGUACCGAGCCUGAGGCACAAAGAGCAAUAAAAGCUGAACUAAAGGAAUGAUGACGACUUCAUUCAUAAAAUGCAUGUACUCAAAUUUUGAAUCAUAUUUUACUAGCAAAGUACCAAAGAUUGCAUGAGCCUCAAAAAUAUAUUGUUUCAAUAUCAUGUUACGAAAAUUGACAGAGGGAAGAAUAAUAAAUAACAAGAUUUUUCAAUAAAUUUGGAUAAAGAAAGAUAAGAAGACAUUGCAGUAAAUUUUGAAUAAGCCCUCAUUAUUUCAUAGAUGAACGUGGAAAUUAAUAGAACAGUAAUUAUUUCUUAACAAAUGUGAUUCUUUUGUUUUUCUUAUGCAAUAGGGCCCUGAGAUGAAAACAUUUUAGAUAAGUCUUGAAGUGAUUCUCUUGUUUUUCAAAGAAUCACCUAUGGUAUUGGAGGAAUGACCAAGUAAACAAUAGUUUAUAUGCUCCCACAAAGUCUAAGAAUCCAUUCUUACAUCUAAAAAAUUCAAAAUAUAGUACAAAAUUAUUUCCACCCAUCACAUGAAGCAGUAACAAGCAGCCCACAGUUAAGACAUGUUUCCUAUCCCCCAUCUAAAUUAGUCUUCCCCCCUCCACUCUGAUUAAAACCAGAGCAUCUAAAACAUAUCCUCAAUAUAAUGCAAUUUGCAGUCUAGAAAAUCCUCCCAACCUUAAGUCAUGUACAGCAUUACCUGUCAAUCCCAUUCGAUGUUGACAAGUAGCUAUUAACAUAUAAAAACCUAUAUGUAGGAUUUUUUGAUUCAUGGCUAAAAUGUGCUCAAAUUGAGUCUGUAUCUCAUCUAGAUUAGGCAGAGCAUUCAUGAUAAGGAAAAGCACAGAAAGGAAUCUCAAAAAGGAUUUUUAACCAAUGAUAAGCAGUGCCCAUAGAGAACAACUCAAAAAGAAAACGAUAAUACAAAUUUACCAAACUGAUAAAAAAGCCAUACGAAGAAACUUACACCAAUAUUGAUUUGUAAGAUAAGAAGCACCAAUACCACCUGCAGAAAAAAUUAGCACAAAUAAGUUUCAAGAAAUACAAAAUGAAUAAGUGAAAAAUAAAAAAUCUACAUAGUGAGGUAAAAGUCAGGAAUUAAGGGUGGACGUUAAGAUAUAUACAGUAAUAAAACUACAAAAAAAAUUAAGAAAAUUGAAAACCCUACAAAAUAAAAAAAAUAAGUAAAUCAAACGUCUCCUUUUUCUAUCAACUAAACCAAACGUAUAACACAAAAUUUC